rnacentral:rRNA from 1 species
GAUGAACGCUGGCGGCGUGCCUAAUACAUGCAAGUCGAGCGAACGGACGAGAAGCUUGCUUUUCUGAUGUUAGCGGCGGACGGGUGAGUAACACGUGGAUAACCUACCUAUAAGACUGGGAUAACUUCGGGAAACCGGAGCUAAUACCGGAUAAUAUUUUGAACCGCAUGGUUCAAAAGUGAAAGACGGUCUUGCUGUCACUUAUAGAUGGAUCCGCGCUGCAUUAGCUAGUUGGUAAGGUAACGGCUUACCAAGGCAACGAUGCAUAGCCGACCUGAGAGGGUGAUCGGCCACACUGGAACUGAGACACGGUCCAGACUCCUACGGGAGGCAGCAGUAGGGAAUCUUCCGCAAUGGGCGAAAGCCUGACGGAGCAACGCCGCGUGAGUGAUGAAGGUCUUCGGAUCGUAAAACUCUGUUAUUAGGGAAGAACAUAUGUGUAAGUAACUGUGCACAUCUUGACGGUACCUAAUCAGAAAGCCACGGCUAACUACGUGCCAGCAGCCGCGGUAAUACGUAGGUGGCAAGCGUUAUCCGGAAUUAUUGGGCGUAAAGCGCGCGUAGGCGGUUUUUUAAGUCUGAUGUGAAAGCCCACGGCUCAACCGUGGAGGGUCAUUGGAAACUGGAAAACUUGAGUGCAGAAGAGGAAAGUGGAAUUCCAUGUGUAGCGGUGAAAUGCGCAGAGAUAUGGAGGAACACCAGUGGCGAAGGCGACUUUCUGGUCUGUAACUGACGCUGAUGUGCGAAAGCGUGGGGAUCAAACAGGAUUAGAUACCCUGGUAGUCCACGCCGUAAACGAUGAGUGCUAAGUGUUAGGGGGUUUCCGCCCCUCAGUGCUGCAGCUAACGCAUUAAGCACUCCGCCUGGGGAGUACGACCGCAAGGUUGAAACUCAAAGGAAUUGACGGGGACCCGCACAAGCGGUGGAGCAUGUGGUUUAAUUCGAAGCAACGCGAAGAACCUUACCAAAUCUUGACAUCCUUUGACAACUCUAGAGAUAGAGCCUUCCCCUUCGGGGGACAAAGUGACAGGUGGUGCAUGGUUGUCGUCAGCUCGUGUCGUGAGAUGUUGGGUUAAGUCCCGCAACGAGCGCAACCCUUAAGCUUAGUUGCCAUCAUUAAGUUGGGCACUCUAAGUUGACUGCCGGUGACAAACCGGAGGAAGGUGGGGAUGACGUCAAAUCAUCAUGCCCCUUAUGAUUUGGGCUACACACGUGCUACAAUGGACAAUACAAAGGGCAGCGAAACCGCGAGGUCAAGCAAAUCCCAUAAAGUUGUUCUCAGUUCGGAUUGUAGUCUGCAACUCGACUACAUGAAGCUGGAAUCGCUAGUAAUCGUAGAUCAGCAUGCUACGGUGAAUACGUUCCCGGGUCU